rnacentral:rRNA from 1 species
GACGAACGCUGGCGGCGUGCCUAAUACAUGCAAGUAGAACGCACAGUUUAUACCGUAGCUUGCUACACCAUAGACUGUGAGUUGCGAACGGGUGAGUAACGCGUAGGUAACCUGCCUGGUAGCGGGGGAUAACUAUUGGAAACGAUAGCUAAUACCGCAUAAUAUUAAUUAUUGCAUGAUAAUUAAUUGAAAGGUGCAAUUGCACCACUACCAGAUGGACCUGCGUUGUAUUAGCUAGUAGGUGAGGUAACGGCUCACCUAGGCGACGAUACAUAGCCGACCUGAGAGGGUGAUCGGCCCAACUGGGACUGAGACACGGCCCAGACUCCUACGGGAGGCAGCAGUAGGGAAUCUUCGGCAAUGGACGAAAGUCUGACCGAGCAACGCCGCGUGAGUGAAGAAGGUUUUCGGAUCGUAAAGCUCUGUUGUAAGAGAAGAACGGGUGUGAGAGUGGAAAGUUCACACUGUGACGGUAUCUUACCAGAAAGGGACGGCUAACUACGUG